rnacentral:antisense_RNA from 1 species
CUUGAGGGAGCCGAGCAGCACCGGCCGGUCGGCCGGGCGGUCCUGGCCGUAGGUGGCGAGGACGGCCUGUGCCUC